UCAGCCUCCUGAGUAGUUGGGACUACAGGCGCCCGCCACCACGCCCAGCUAAUUUUUUUGUAUUUUUAGUAGAGACGGGGUUUCACUGUGUUAGCCAGGAACUGACCGCAAACGAGGCCGCCAGACCUACACCCGCUACCAGACCCUGGAGCUGGAGAAAGAAUUUCACUACAAUCGCUACCUGACGCGGCGGCGGCGCAUCGAGAUCGCGCACACGCUCUGCCUCACGGAAAGACAGAUCAAGAUUUGGUUUCAGAACCGGCGCAUGAAGUGGAAAAAGGAGAACAAGACCGCGGGCCCGGGGACCACCGGCCAAGACAGGGCUGAAGCAGAGGAGGAAGAGGAAGAGUGAGGGAUGGAGAAAGGGCAGAGGAAGAGACAUGAGAAAGGGAGAGGAAGAGAAGCCCAGCUCUGGGAACUGAAUCAGGAAACUCAAAUCGAAUAGGGAAGUAAAAAAACAAAACAAAAAACAAAAAAA
rnacentral:lncRNA from 10 species